UAUGCUCAUGGAGUUUGUCAAGUCCAGCAGGGAAUCAGUGAGGUUGGCUUGCAGGGAGCUGAGAUCCAUUAAAACUGUCUGCACAGUAAAAGUACUCUUUGUGGGCUCUUUAAUCCGAUUUCUGUACUCCACCUCGGCAAGUGGAGUAGCGCUUAAAUCGAGAUCGCAAUCCUGGGUUAAAGGUAUUGUGGACAUAAUUAGACGUUAUUGGCCUCCAGGAGCUAUCCCAGAAUGCUCCCUUGUGACCGCUCUGGACAACACUCUCAACUCCGAUGUACUAGCCAGGUGGGCAGGAAAAGCCCCAGGAACUUUUGAAUUUCAUUUCCUGUUUGGUCACCAUCAGCACAGGUGACCAUCAGCACAGUCCACCAUCACAGGCAACCAUGCAGAGUCCACCAUCACAGGAGAUCACGCAGUCCCGGAUUCACAGACGAGCUCCAGCAUGGUCCGAAUGGGAGGUACUGGAUCUCAUCGCAUGUUGGGGAGACGAGUCUGUUAUGGCAGAACUACGUUCCAAAAAAGGAAUGUAAAUAUGUACGCUAAAGACUCCAGGGCCAUGACGGAAAGAGGCUACUCCAGGGACACAGAGCAGUGUCAUACAAAAAUCAAGGAGCUCAGGUGCAAAUGUUUCAACGCGGACUCUAUCUACUCCGUCCCAGAGGCUGGUCCAGAUUAGAAGGCCGAAAAAACGAACUCGGGACGACAUGUUCACCGAGCUCAUGCAGUCCUCUCGCACUGAUAGGGCCCAACUGAAUGCAUGGAGGCAAACAAUUGCGGAGUCCCGUAAAGCAUUACAGGAACACAAAGAGAGGAAGAACGCGCGCGAUGAGAGUAGGCAGGACGCUAUGGUCGAGCUCAUGGGGGAGCAAACUGACAUGCUCUGCUGUAUGGUGGAUCUAAUGCGGGAAAGGCAGCAAGACCAUAGACUGCCGCUGCAGCCCCUAUAUAACCGCCCUCCCUCCUCCCCAAGUUCCAUAGCCUCCUCACCCAGAGGCCCAACAACACGAGGGGGAGGCUACAGCGACCCACACACUCAACCCCAGAGGAUCGCCCAAGCAGCCGAAAGCUGGCAUAUGCGAACUUUUGAUUUGGUUUC